UGUGGGAGCGAGCCUGCUCGCGAUGGCGGCGUGCCAGUCAACAGUCAUGCUGCUGAUCCACCGCCAUCGCGAGCAGGCUCGCUCCCACA
rnacentral:misc_RNA from 1 species